ACGGGUGAGUAACGCGUGGGAAUCUACCCAUCCCUACGGAAUAACGCAUGGAAACGUGUGCUAAUACCGCAUACGCCCUACGGGGGAAAGAUUUAUCGGGGAUGGAUGAGCCCGCGUUGGAUUAGCUAGUUGGUGGGGUAAAGGCCUACCAAGGCGACGAUCCAUAGCUGGUCUGAGAGGAUGAUCAGCCACAUUGGGACUGAGACACGGCCCAAACUCCUACGGGAGGCAGCAGUGGGGAAUAUUGGACAAUGGGCGCAAGCCUGAUCCAGCCAUGCCGCGUGAGUGAUGAAGGCCUUAGGGUUGUAAAGCUCUUUCACCGGAGAAGAUAAUGACGGUAUCCGGAGAAGAAGCCCCGGCUAACUUCGUGCCAGCAGCCGCGGUAAUACGAAGGGGGCUAGCGUUGUUCGGAAUUACUGGGCGUAAAGCGCACGUAGGCGGACUUUUAAGUCAGGGGUGAAAUCCCGGGGCUCAACCUCGGAACUGCCUUUGAUACUGGAAGUCUGGAGUAUGGAAGAGGUGAGUGGAAUUCCGAGUGUAGAGGUGAAAUUCGUAGA
rnacentral:rRNA from 1 species